GUACUUCACCACUUGGGAAAAUACGAUAGAUUUUAUAAUCAGUUAUUUUAAACGUUCGUAAUUGUGUUCCUAACGCUAAGCAUUG
rnacentral:tRNA from 1 species